rnacentral:rRNA from 1 species
GAGUUUGAUCCUGGCUCAGAACGAACGCUGGCGGCAUGCCUAACACAUGCAAGUCGAACGCACCGCAAGGUGAGUGGCGGACGGGUGAGUAACGCGUGGGAACCUGCCCUUUAGUACGGAAUAACCGCGGGAAACUGCGGCUAAUACCGUAUACGCCCUACGGGGAAAGGAUUUAUCGCUAAAGGAUGGGCCCGCGUCGGAUUAGCUAGUUGGUGAGGUAAAGGCUUACCAAGGCGUCGAUCAGUAGCUGGUCUGAGAGGACGACCAGCCACACUGGGACUGAGACACGGCCCAGACUCCUACGGGAGGCAGCAGUGGGGAAUUUUGGACAAUGGGGGAAACCCUGAUCCAGCCAUGCCGCGUGAGUGAAGAAGGCC